AACCGUUGGGGAAACUUUUCAUGUUGUUGCCUAUGAUUUCGGUAUCAAACAUAAUAUCUUAAGGUGCCUGGCAUCUUACGGAUGCAAAAUCAC